UCUCAAGGUGUAUAUCGCCAUUGCUGCGGUUAAAAAGCUCGUAGUUGGAUCUGCGCCUUCGGACUCGGUCCUCCCAACGGGUGCGAACUGAGCUCCUAGGCUACUACUGCUGGUUUUCCCUUGAUGCUCUUCACUGGGUGUCUUGGGUGGCUAGCGAGUUUACUUUGAAAAAAUUAGAGUGCUCAAAACAGGCUAUUGCCUGAAUACCGGUGCAUGGAAUAAUAGAAUAGGAUCUCGGUCCUAUUUUGUUGGUUUUCGGAACUGAGAUAAUGGUUAAGAGGGACAGACGGGGGCAUUCGUAUCGCUGCGUGAGAGGUGAAAUUCUUGGACCGCAGCGAGACGCCCAACUGCGAAAGCAUUUGCCAAGAAUGUCUUCGUUAAUCAAGAACGAAAGUCAGAGGUUCGAAGGCGAUCAGAUACCGCCCUAGUUCUGACCGUAAACGAUGCCAACUAGCGAUCCGCCGGUGGUAAUUACGCCCCGGCGGGGAGCUUCCCGGAAACGAAAGUCUUCCGGUUCCGGGGGAAGUAUGGUUGCAAAGCUGAAACUUAAAGGAAUUGACGGAAGGGCACCACCAGGAGUGGAGCUUGCGGCUUAAUUUGACCCAACACGGGAAAACUCACCCGGCCCGGACACCGUAAGGAUUGACAGAUUGAGAGCUCUUUCUUGAUUCGGUGGUUGGUGGUGCAUGGCCGUUCUUAGUUGGUGGAGCGAUUUGUCUGGUUUAUUCCGAUAACGAACGAGACUCUGGCCUACUAACUAGUGACAGAAUUAUUGCUGUUCUGGUUACUUCUUAGAGGGACAAGUGGUGUUCAGCCACACGAAAUUGAGCAAUAACAGGUCUGUGAUGCCCUUAGAUGUCCGGGGCUGCACGCGUGCUACACUGGAGGAAACAGCAUGCAAAACCAUUGCCGAGAGGCAUUGGUAAACCCAAGAUAAUCUUCCGUGAUCGGGAUCGGGAAUUGCAAUUAUUUCCCUUGAACGAGGAAUUCCCAGUAAGUGUGGGUCAUCAGCUCGCGCUGAUUACGUCCCUGCCCUUUGUACACACCGCCCGUCGCUGCCCGGGACUGAGCCGUUUCGAGAAAAGCGGGGACUGCUGCUGUUGGGGCUUUCGGGCCUUGGCUUCGGUGGAAACCGCUUUAAUCGCAGUGGCUUGAACCGGGCAAAAGUCGUAACAAGGUUUCCGUGGGUGAACCUGCGGAAG
rnacentral:rRNA from 1 species